rnacentral:pre_miRNA from 1 species
UCUUCAUUUCACACACUCUCUCGCCUCUCUGACCGGCGAGAGAGCACGUGAAAUGAGGAGA